AGUCAUAUGCUUGUCUCAAAGACUAAGCCAUGCAUGUCUAAGUAUAAAUGCUAUAAGUGAAACUGCGAAUGGCUCAUUAAAACAGUUAUAGUUUAUUUGGUAAUCGACAAUUACAUGGAUAACCGUGGUAAUUCUAGAGCUAAUACAUGCUGUGGUGCCCGACUUCACGGAAGGGCCGUAUUUAUUAGAUAACAGCCAAUAAGACUCGCGUCUAUUGUGGUGACUCAUAGUAACUGAUCGGAUCGCAUGGGCCUGUCCCGCGACAAACCAUUCAAGUUUCUGCCCCAUCAGCUUUCGAUGGUAGUGUAUUGGACUACCAUGGCUUUUACGGGUAACGGAGGAUUAGGGUUCGAUUCCGGAGAGGGAGCCUGAGAAACGGCUACCACAUCCAAGGAAGGCAGCAGGCGCGUAAAUUACCCAAUCCUGACUCAGGGAGGUAGUGACAAGAAAUAACGGGCCGGGGUACGACCUCGGGACUGCAAUGAGACGAAUUUACACCCCUUAUCGAUCACCAAUUGGAGGGC
rnacentral:rRNA from 1 species